rnacentral:rRNA from 1 species
UACGUAGGGUGCGAGCGUUGUCCGGAAUUACUGGGCGUAAAGAGUUCGUAGGCGGUUUGUCGCGUCGUUCGUGAAAACUUGGGGCUUAACUCCAAGCGUGCGGGCGAUACGGGCAGACUUGAGUACUACAGGGGAGACUGGAAUUCCUGGUGUAGCGGUGGAAUGCGCAGAUAUCAGGAGGAACACCGGUGGCGAAGGCGGCUCUCUGGGACGGUACUGACGCUGAGACGCGAAAAGCGUGGGGGAGCAAACAGG